rnacentral:lncRNA from 1 species
GUAGGAAUCACUCUAUUUUAGACCGGUAAAUGAACUUUAUGCGUUUAACAGUUUCUGAAGUUAAAUUGAAUUUUUAACUCUGAAAUUGCAAAGCAUCUGAAAUCAAUAGGAUAAUUAAUCAAAGAAACUAUUCAAAAAUUAAAGUAAAUAAUCAAUUAACUAAUCAAUUAAAAUUACUAAUCAAACAAAUAACUAAUAUUUAAAUAAUUAAUUUA